UUUUAUAUUGGAGGGCAAGUCUGGUGCCAGCAGCCGCGGUAAUUCCAGCUCCAAUAGCGUAUAUUAAAGUUGUUGCGGUUAAAAAGCUCGUAGUUGGAUCUCAGCUCACGCUAAGUGGUCCACUUAAUGGUGGUUACUACUUAGCUGAGCAUUUUACAGAUUUGUCUCUUGAUGCUCUUCACCGAGUGUCAAGAGUGGUCUGUACGUUUACUUUGAAAAAAUUAGAGUGCUUAAAGCAGGCAACUCGCCCGAAUAAUCUUGCAUGGAAUAAUGGAAUAGGACCUUGGUUCUAUUUUGUUGGUCUCCGGAAUCUGAGGUAAUGAUUAAGAGGGACAGACGGGGGCAUUCGUAUUGCGCCGCUAGAGGUGAAAUUCUUGGACCGGCGCAAGACGAACUACAGCGAAAGCAUUUGCCAAGAAUGUUUUCUAAUCAAGAACGAAAGUUAGAGGUUCGAAGGCGAUCAGAUACCGCCCUAGUUCUAACCAUAAACGAUGCCAA
rnacentral:rRNA from 1 species